rfam:Lactococcus lactis subsp. lactis Il1403, complete genome.
GUUUGUCAGCAAAAUCUGUGGGAUAUAUUGUCCCCAUAGGCUUUGUAAGCAACGAAACA